AGCCAACUCCCUUCCCCAGCUAGCCUGAUUACGGCUGCUUUGUCAGGCCAUCUCUUCAACCAUGUUAGAAUACGUUCACGGAAUAGCGACCCAAUCAAGUAAGGCAAAACCAUACCGACAGUAGUACCUGCCAUGAUUAUGACAAAUCCAAGGCCAUAACCAAAAAUCAUUCCCGCUAGCCACAUUGAAGGCCCAGAAGGAACUAAA
rnacentral:misc_RNA from 1 species